rnacentral:misc_RNA from 1 species
UUAAGUUCAGCGGGUAUCCCUACCUGAUCCGAGGUCAAUUCUUGAAAAUGUGGGCAAUUCUGGCAAGCCGCGACGCGGACCUUCAGAACGGGAGAAUGUUUACUACGUUCAAGGCCACGCCGGACCGCCACUACUUUUCAGGCACGCCCUUUUUGAGGGAGCGAGGCCCAAUACCAAGCUACGCUUGAGAGGUGUAAUGA